AUAUGUCAUUCAUGGACACCAUAAGAAACUACACCAUGUUGACCAAUGAACCAUAUGUCAUCCAUGGACACCAUAAGCAACUACACCUUGUUGACCAAUGACCCAUAUGUCAUCCAUGGACACUAUAAGCAACUACCAUGUUGACCAAUAACCCAUAUGUCAUCCAUGGACACCAUAAGUAACUACACCAUGUUAACUAAUGACCCUUAUGUCAUACAUGGACACCAUAAGCAACUACCAUGUUGACCAAUGACACAUAUGUCAUACGUGGAAACCAUAAGCAACUACAUGUUGACCAAUUGCCUAUAUGUUAUCCAUGGGUGAUACCAUCACACCAUAAGCAACUACCAUAUUGACCAAUAACCCAUAUGUCAUCCAUGGACACCAUAAGUAACUACACCAUGUUAACUAAUGACCCUUAUGUUAUCCAUGGACACCAUAAGCAACUACACCUAGUUGACCAACAUUAGCAACUACACACCAUGUUGACCAAUGACCCAUAUUUCAUCCAUGGCCACCAUAAGUAAAUACACCAUGUUGACCAAUGACCCAUAUGUCAUCAAUGGACACCAUAAGCAACUACACCAUGUUGACCAAUGGCCCAUAUGUCAUCCAUGGACAUCAUAAGCAACUACACCUUGUUGACCAAUGAACCAUAUGUCAUCCAUGGACACCAUAAGCAACUACCAUGUUGACCCAUAUUUCAUCCAUGGACAACAUAAGCAACUACACACCAUGUUGACCAAUGACCCAUAUGUCAUCCAUGGACACCAUAAGCAAAUACACCAUGUUGACCAAUGACCCAUAUGUCAUCAAUGGACACCAUAAGCAACUACACCAUGUUGACCAAUGACCCAUAUGUCAUCCAUGGACAUCAUAAGCAACUACACCUUGUUGACUAAUGACCCAUAUGUCAACCAUGGACACCAUAAGCAACUACCACGUUGACCAAUAACCUAAAUAUCAUCCAUGGACAUCAUAAGUAACUACACCAUGUUAACCAAUAACCCUUAUGUCAUCCAUGGACACAGUAAGCAACUACCAUGUUGACCAAUUACCCGUAUGUCAUCCAUGGACACAAAAACCAAUUACACCAAGUUUACUAAUUACCCAUAUGUCAGACACCAUAAGCAACUACAUGUUGACCAAUGACCUAUAUGUCAUCCAUGGACACCAUAAGCAACUACACCAUGUUGACCAAUGACCCAUAUGUCAUUCAUGGACACCAUAAGAAACUACACCAUGUUGACCAAUGAACCAUAUGUCAUCCAUGGACACCAUAAGCAACUACACCUUGUUGACCAAUGACCCAUAUGUCAUCCAUGGACACUAUAAGCAACUACCAUGUUGACCAAUAACCCAUAUGUCAUCCAUGGACACCAUAAGUAACUACACCAUGUUAACUAAUGACCCUUAUGUCAUACAUGGACACCAUAAGCAACUNN
rnacentral:lncRNA from 1 species